UGGAGCUCCUCAGAGCGGGUGAGAGAAUGUCGAGCGGAGCAAACUAACAGAGUUAGUGGGUGUGUGAGGAGGAAUGGAGCCAGCGGAGUGGGCUGGGAGGCUUCAUAAAGACACAGUGCAGGCCGCAGACUCUAAAUAACAAGGGUGUUAGAAGAGGAGGGCAAACUCGAGGGAGAUGAGAAACCAAAACCAAACAUCACGUCAAAAUCUGAAUGUCACUUGUUUGACCAGGACCUGAAUAUCAUCAACCUUUGAAUAUACCAGCAUCUAUUGUGAUUGCCAGUUGCCUGUGGAGAAGAUGAUGUUUGACCUUCUUGAACCGCUGCAGUCCGUGUGGUGAAGGUGCUCGCACAAUGCUGUUAGAGAAUUACAAGGGGAGGAUUUUCAGGCAGGAAACUCAAACCAAACAUCACAUCAAGAUCUGACAGAGUCACUCGAUUCAUCAGGACCUGAAUAUCAUCACCUUUGAAUGUGGAGGGAGAAAUGUUUGUCUGCUCUGUCUGUGGGAAAAUGUUUCAAACAUCAG